GACGAACGCUGGCGGCGUGCUUAACACAUGCAAGUCGAGCGAGGCCCUUCCUUCGGGGAGGUGUCCUAGCGGCGAACGGGUGAGUAACACGUGGGCAACCUGCCCUCAGCUCUGGGAUAACUCCGGGAAACCGGGGCUAAUACCGGAUAUGACCUCAUGGGGCAUCUUGUGGGGUGGAAAGUUUUUCGGCUGAGGAUGGGCCCGCGGCCUAUCAGCUUGUUGGUGGGGUGAUGGCCUACCAAGGCGACGACGGGUAGCCGGCCUGAGAGGGCGACCGGCCACACUGGGACUGAGACACGGCCCAGACUCCUACGGGAGGCAGCAGUGGGGAAUAUUGCGCAAUGGGCGAAAGCCUGACGCAGCGACGCCGCGUGAGGGACGAAGGCCUUCGGGUUGUAAACCUCUUUCAGCAGGGACGAAGCGAAAGUGACGGUACCUGCAGAAGAAGCACCGGCCAACUACGUGCCAGCAGCCGCCGUAACAC
rnacentral:rRNA from 1 species